rnacentral:sRNA from 1 species
GCCGGGCAUGAUGGCACAUGCCUGUAAUCCCAGCAACUCAGGAGGCUGAGACAGAAAGAUCUCAAAUUCAAGAUUAGCCUUAGCAACUUAGUGAACCCCUGUCUCAA